rnacentral:rRNA from 1 species
UACGUAGGGUGCGAGCGUUUAAUCGGAAUUACUGGGCGUAAAGCGUGCGCAGGCGGUCUGUUAAGACCGAUGUGAAAUCCCCGGGCUUAACCUGGGAACUGCAUUGGUGACUGGCAGGCUUUGAGUGUGGCAGAGGGGGGUAGAAUUCCACGUGUAGCAGUGAAAUGCGUAGAGAUGUGGAGGAAUACCGAUGGCGAAGGCAGCCCCCUGGGCCAACACUGACGCUCAUGCACGAAAGCGUGGGGAGCAAACAGG